CAUGAAGCUGGAAUCGCUAGUAAUCGCGGAUCAGAAUGCCGCGGUGAAUACGUUCCCGGGUCUUGUACACACCGCCGUCACACCAUGGGAGCCGGGAAUGCCCGAAGUCGGUGACCUAACCGAAAGGAAGGAGCCGCCGAAGGCAGGUCUGGUAACUGGGGUGAAGUCGUAACAAGGUACC
rnacentral:rRNA from 1 species